rnacentral:rRNA from 1 species
UACGUAGGGUGCAAGCGUUAAUCGGAAUGACUGGGCGUAAAGGGUGCGCAGGCGGUUUGUUAAGACGGAUGUGAAAGCCCCGGGCUCAACCUGGGAAUUGCAUUUGAGACUGCGUAGCUAGGGUGCGGAAGAGGGAAGCGGAAUUUCCGGUGUAGCGGUGAAAUGCGUAGAUAUCGGAAGGAACACCAGUGGCGAAAGCGGCUUCCUGGUCCAGCACCGACGUUCAGGCACGAAAGCGUGGGGAGCAAACAGG